GCCGGAGCCUCUUGAGAAAGCCUCCGUGGUGGCAGCUGGUGCAAGAAAUAGCUCACGUUCAUAGCGCCAGCAUAGGAGAGAUCGAUCGAUGAAGCUGUUCGCGUUCGUGAGGCGCGCUCGCCGAACAUCGUCAGCGGCGAUGACACCGGAGCCGGUUCCGGUGGCGCUGGAGAACGCGACGGCGCCUGUGUCCGCUGCGGAGAAGCGGCGGCGGAGGCCCUCGUCGGGAUCGUCGUCGUGGAAGCCGACGCUGGUCGCCAUCUCCGAGGACGCUGCGGUGGCCGCCGCCAAGGCCGACGCCGGAAAGGCCAAGGGCAAGGCGAAAGGGAAGCCGGCGGCGGCCAAGGCCAAGGCGAGGGCGUCGCCUCGCGCGCUCCGGCCUGACUGCGACGACUUCCGGCGCUUCGGGGCGCCCACGGUGCUGCCGGCGUUCGCGCCCACGGCGUUCCUCUUCUGAGCGAGCUCAGGCGACCUCGCUGUGGUGGUGUGCCGUGAUGGGAGCGGCAAGUGGCAACGUGGUGGUCUGACCAUGAACCCUCUCUCUGUUUGUGUGCCCAAUAUGAGCUCCCAAAGCUGAUGCUUCUGUGAUUCCUUCUAGUGCUGGCUUCUCAUGUGAAUAUCUAUGUCUAUUGUUUCGGCUUCCAUCCAACUUGCGUUGCGCCUCUGUUUAGAUCGUUUCUUCACAAUUCUUGUCAUCCCGCAUGAUUUGGUCGGCCGGGUUCGACAAAAGCAAUACUUCGAG
rnacentral:rRNA from 1 species